AGAGUUUGAUCCUGGCUCAGAUUGAACGCUGGCGGCAGGUCUAACACAUGCAAGUCGAACGGUAACAGGAAGAAGCUUGCUUCUUUGCUGACGAGUGGCGGACGGGUGAGUAAUGUCUGGGAAACUGCCUGAUGGAGGGGGAUAACUACUGGAAACGGUAGCUAAUACCGCAUAACGUCGCAAGACCAAAGAGGGGGGACCUUCGGGCCUCUUGCCAUCGGAUGUGCCCAGAUGGGAUUAGCUAGUAGGUGGGGUAACGGCUCACCUAGGCGACGAUCCCUAGCUGGUCUGAGGGGAUGACCAGCCACACUGGAACUGAGACACGGUCCAGACUCCUACGGGAGGCAGCAGUGGGGAAUAUUGCACAAUGGGCGCAAGCCUGAUGCAGCCAUGCCGCGUGUAUGAAGAAGGCCUUCGGGUUGUAAAGUACUUUCAGCGGGGAGGAAGGGAGUAAAGUUAAUACCUUUGCUCAUUGACGUUACCCGCAGAAGAAGCACCGGCUAACUCCGUG
rnacentral:rRNA from 1 species